AUGAUGAGUGAAGAAUAUCAAAUGUCUAUGAUGGGAGAAUUGAAAUUCUUCUUAGGUCUUCAAAUUCGUCAACAACGCAAUGGCAUAUUCAUAUCUCAGGAGAAAUACCUCAAGGAUGUAUUGAGGAAAUUCGGCAUGCAAGAUUGCAAUGGCGUCAAAAUCCCUAUGCCCACCAAUGGCCAUCUAUGCACUGAUGAAAAUGGUAUUGACUUCGAUCAAAAGGUAUACCGCUCCAUGAUUGGUUCUUUAUUGUAUUUAUGUGCAUCUAGGCCAGAUAUUAUGCUUAGUGUUUGCAUGUGUGCCCGAUUUCAAGCUACACCGAAGGAAUCACACCAUAAGGCUGUGAAGCAUAUUCUUCGAUAUCUAGCUCACACACCAACACUUGGAUUAUGGUACCCCAAGGGCUCGGCUUUUGAUCUCAUUGGAUAUUCAGACUCUGACUAUGCUGGUGAUCGUGUGGACCGCAAGUCAACAUCAGGCACAUGCCAUUUCCUCGGACGAUCCUUGGUCUGUUGGUCCUCGAGGAAACAGAAUUGCGUAUCACUGUCUACUGCCGAAGCUGACUACAUUGCUGCUGGUUCUUGCUGUGCUCAAUUGCUGUGGAUGAAGCAAAAUCUCAAGGACUACGGCGUCAACAUGAAGAAUGUGCCUCUCUAA
rnacentral:rRNA from 1 species